rnacentral:rRNA from 1 species
GGAAUUUUGGACAAUGGGCGCAAGCCUGAUCCAGCAAUGCCGCGUGAGUGAAGAAGGCCUUCGGGUUGUAAAGCUCUUUUGUCAGGGAAGAAACGGUGGACUCUAAUACAGAUCACUAAUGACGGUACCUGAAGAAUAAGCACCGGCUAACUACGUGCCAGCAGCCGCGGUAAUACGUAGGGUGCAAGCGUUAAUCGGAAUUACUGGGCGUAAAGCGUGCGCAGGCGGUUUGGUAAGACAGAUGUGAAAUCCCCGGGCUCAACCUGGGAAUUGCAUUUGUGACUGCCCGACUAGAGUGUGUCAGAGGGGGGUAGAAUUCCACGUGUAGCAGUGAAAUGCGUAGAGAUGUGGAGGAAUACCGAUGGCGAAGGCAGCCCCCUGGGAUAACACUGACGCUCAUGCACGAAAGCGUGGGGAGCAAACAGGAUUAGAUACCCGGG